rnacentral:rRNA from 1 species
CUUAACACAUGCAAGUCGAGGGGAAACGGCAUUGAGUGCUUGCACUCUUUGGACGUCGACCGGCGCACGGGUGAGUAACGCGUAUCCAACCUUCCCAUUACUGUGGGAUAACCUGCCGAAAGGCAGACUAAUACCGCAUAGUCUUCGAUGACGGCAUCAGAUUUGAAGUAAAGAUUUAUCGGUAAUGGAUGGGGAUGCGUCUGAUUAGCUUGUUGGCGGGGUAACGGCCCACCAAGGCUACGAUCAGUAGGGGUUCUGAGAGGAAGGUCCCCCACAUUGGAACUGAGACACGGUCCAAACUCCUACGGGAGGCAGCAGUGAGGAAUAUUGGUCAAUGGACGGAAGUCUGAACCAGCCAAGUAGCGUGCAGGAUGACGGCCCUAUGGGUUGUAAACUGCUUUUGUAUGGGGAUAAAGUUAGGGACGUGUCCCUAUUUGCAGGUACCAUACGAAUAAGGACCGGCUAAUUCCGUGCCAGCAGCCGCGGUAAUACGGAAGGUCCAGGCGUUAUCCGGAUUUAUUGGGUUUAAAGGGAGCGUAGGCUGGAGAUUAAGUGUGUCGUGAAAUGUAGACGCUCAACGUCUGAAUUGCAGGCGCAUACUGGUUUCCUUGAGUACGCACAACGUUGGCGGAAUUCGUCGUGUAGCGGUGAAAUGCUUAGAUAUGACGAAGAACUCCGAUUGCGAAGGCAGCUGACGGGAGCGCAACUGACGCUUAAGCUCGAAGGUGCGGGUAUCAAACAGGAUUAGAUANCCUGGUAGUCCGCACAGUAAACGAUGGAUGCUCGCUGUUGGUACCUGGUAUCAGCGGCUAAGCGAAAGCAUUAAGCAUCCCA